rnacentral:rRNA from 1 species
CCUACGGGAGGCAGCAGUGAGGAAUAUUGGUCAAUGGACGCAAGUCUGAACCAGCCAUGCCGCGUGCAGGAAGACGGCUCUAUGAGUUGUAAACUGCUUUUGUACGAGGGUAAACGCAGAUACGCGUAUCUGUCUGAAAGUAUCGUACGAAUAAGGAUCGGCUAACUCCGUGCCAGCAGCCGCGGGAAUACGGAGGAUUCAAGCGUUAUCCGGAUUUAUUGGGUUGAAAGGGUGCGUAGGCGGUCGGAUAAGUUAGAGGUGAAAUCCCGAGGCUCAACUUCGGAAUUGCCUCUGAUACUGUUCGGCGAGAGAGUAGUUGCGGUAGGCGGAAUGUAUGGUGUAGCGGUGAAAUGCUUAGAGAUCAUACAGAACACCGAUUGCGAAGGCAGCUUACCAAGCUACUUCUGACGUUGAGGCACGAAAGCGUGGGGAGCAAACAGGAUUAGAUACCCCAGUAGUC